rnacentral:rRNA from 1 species
AUGAAGACAGAUGUGUUCAGCUUUGGCGUUUUGGUUCUGGUGAUUAUUAGUGGCCGAAAGAAUACCAUACUCGACAAGCAAGGGGAUACUGUUGGUGAUCUUGUACGAGAUGCCUGGCGUAUGUGGAAGGAACAAAGGUUGCAUGAGCUUGUGGAUCCGUUGUUAGGUGACGGAUAUGAAGUCGCCGAGAUAAUGAAAUGCGCUCAAGUGGCACUGGUUUGUGCUCAGGAAGAUCUAGCAUAUCGGCCCGCCAUGACAAAUGUUGCUGCAAUGCUGAACUCUGAAAGCAUAAGCUUACCGAUGGAGCCUAAGCAACCCGGUACGCUGAUCCAUGGGUGUGCUGACAGAGACACGACAUCGACAUACGUGGGCCAAUCAAGCAGGACGAUAGACAUAACUAUAACGAGCUCUGCUCCAACGUCGACUAGAGUUUGA